rnacentral:rRNA from 1 species
AUGGCGUACGCGGUCCCUCCCGGCGACGACGACGAUCUGAUGAACGUCCUCAGGCUCCCGCUCAGGCAACUCCCUGCCUGGGUGAACAAGGACGACCUCUACCGCGACGUUCCCCACGUCGUCGCCGGCGACUCCUUCCAGGCCACGGACGGCGCUGGAAGGCCGGCGUACUACGUCCUCACGCCGCUCCGCGCCAUGGGAAGCCGGACGAGGCGCACGGUCGGCGGCGGGUUGUGGAAGGUGGAGAAGACCAUCACCCUCCUACCUACCGCCGACGAGGCCAAGUCUUCCACUUCCAAGCCGGCGCCACAAGGAAGCUGCACCAAGCUCUCGUUCAUCUCCCGGCCACCCGGCGGGCCGGAGGGGAGGAACGGCUGGCUAAUGAAGCAGUAUCUGCUCCCCCACUCGCCAGGUGCCCCCGCAGGCCCCGCCCUCUGCAAAUUGUAUUUCAAGAAGUCGGCGGUGGCGGCUACGGCGGCGUCGACUACGGCGGCGGCGGCGGCGGGGAAGGCGACCGCGGCUGCUCGUCCCAGCCGCCUGCCCGCAUCCGCCUCUUCCCCGAAGGGCUUCUUGAAGAAGCCGGCGGCGGAGGCGCCAUCUACGGCGGUGCCGCCGGCGACGAAGGCGGCAACAUCCCAGGACGCGGGCGCUCGUCCCCUGCGCCUGCGCGUGCCGACCUCCACCACUUACGCCAGCCGGCUGCGCCUGCCGGCCUCCAUCCCUUACUCCAAGAUCUUGAAGAAGCCGCCCGCCGAGGCGCCAUCUACGGCGGCGAAGGCUCCAUCUCGCGCCAGCAGCUUCCGCCGGCCUGCCUCCACCCCCUGCCCGAUGAAGAAGCCCGCGGCGGAGGCGCCACCUGCAGCGGAGCAGGCGCCGGCAAAGGCGGCCGAGGCGCCAUCUACGGCGGCGAAGGCUCCAUCUCACGCCAGCAGCUUCCGCCCGCCUGCCUCCAUCCCCUGCCUGAAGAAGCCCGCGGCCGAGGCGCCAUCUACGGCGGCGAAGGCUCCAUCUCACGCCAGCAGCUUCCGCCCGCCUGCCUUCAUCCCCUGCCUGAAGAAGCCCGCGGCGGAGGCGCCACCUGCAGCGGCGCCGGCGCCGGCAAAGGCGGCCGCGGCCCCUUGCGCCAGCCAGGACUCCACGCCUCCACUGCGCCGCCAGCUCUCCCCCGGCACCACACCCGGCAGGAGGUGGGUGCUGGUGGAAACCGAGGCGACCAGCCCCCCUCCCCAGCCAAACCAUGAUCGCAUCCUCAAGCGAAUCUACAAGCUCGCAGAGCUGGAGGUAGUCGAUGUCGAGGAAGGCGAACUUUUGGAGCAGGGGCACUAUCUUAGAAAAAAAGGAAAAUUCUCUUGCGACAAGUCCUCGUUUAUGCUCCUUAAGGACGACUAUUGUAGCUUCAGGAGUAGGGAGCUUUCCUGA